GUAGGGCGGGGGAAGCUCCUUGGUAGGGCCACGAGCUGAGUGCGUCUCGUCACUCCUGCGGGUCCCUUGGGAAGGUCUGAGACUAGGCCACCAGCAGCCCUAGCAGGGCUCUCCCUGAGCCCGGGGAGGUGAGUUCCCAGAGAGCAGGGCUCCGCGCGAGGGCAGACUGGGUGGGAGAAUAUGUGUGAUGAAUGUUUAUAGGAAAGCAUGAAAGGACCAAGAAGCAUCAUAUAUUUAUAAGGUAUGUGACACAUUGUAUCUACAUAAAUGCAUGCCAUCUUAC
rnacentral:lncRNA from 1 species